UUGUUGUUAGAUUGUAUUAGCGGCAUGACUAUCUCGCACUCACGCAGGGAUACGAACACUUGUUUUUAGCCGUUGGAAAGGUAAACAGUAGAGCGUAAAGAAUUAAAUUUGAAAAGUGAAAAUUAAUAACUAAUGUUGGCAGAUGAUUUUCGGGAGUAGGUAUGAAAUUCCAUGAGCUACCAGUUGAUUAAGACUACAAACUCAAGUCCGUAAUGCAGUGCUAGCUUGUACGAAGUCCUAACAAAAACGGACACCAGCGCCUCGGCAUUCUCCAGCAGCGGCUUGAUCAGGUCCCACGAUCUCCCGGUGUCCACAAUCCCGUGAAUCUCGUUGUGGAAGUCGAUGGGGAUCUCGAGGAAGAAGGCCGUCGACUCGUACACUUGGAAGAGGGGGAGCUUGAACCGGUACUCCAGCUGUGAGGGAAGGAAAGCGUGAUCGUCCUCCUCUUCCUGGGCUUGGCAACGAGGGCGGUGCUGUUGACGUCAUCCGCGUGACGCUCCGCCCUCAGCAGACUUCGGGGCUGGAGCGAAGGGACGUCACUGAAGUCCAGC